rnacentral:lncRNA from 1 species
CUCCUCAUUACAAGGAACUAGAAAUCCUUGGAGAAAUCACUGAUUCUGGUGUUCAAGAGAUACCAGAUAAGCUGGAACGUCUUAUGCUAGGAAGCAGGAGAAGCUUCAAAGAAAAAUAGGUCCAGGCAGAAGGAUGCAGGAGACAAGCUAGAAGUGCCAAAUCAGGACGAUUUGAGUAUCAAAUUGAAAUACACCCAAUUAUGAAGGUACCCAAUUUUCAAGAGCCGGCUGGGCGCAGUGGCUCACACCUGUAAUCCUACCACUCUGGGAGACUGAGGCGGGCAGAUCACCUGAAAUCAAGAGUUCAAGACCAGCCUGGGCAACAUGGCGAAACCCCAUCUCUACUAAAAAUACAAAACUUAGCCAGGCGCAGUGGCAUACACCUGCAGUCCCACCUACUCGGGAGGCUGAGCCAGGAGAAUCACUUGAACCCAGGAGACAGAGGUUGCAGUGAGCCGAGAUUGCACCACUGCACUCAAGCCUGGGUGACAGAAAAAGACUCCAUCUCAAAAAAAAAAAAAAAAAUGAAGAGCCAUGAAAUCCAUGGUCAUCCUCAAUAAAAUUUAAAUAUUCGAAAAGAAUGUAGGAUAAAAUGUGUUACUGCUGAGUCUCGUUAUUUGGUUAUGUUUGUAUUGAUUCAUUUGUUGUAUUGAUAAAGAUUAGUAGGUGGCAAAUUCUUCCUUUAGAAGGUUGUUUGUGACCCAAGAGGGCAUCAAUACAAAGACCCUAAAGCUGGGAUUCCGAAGCACAGAGUCGCGGGAGAGAACCAAAGCUCAUCGCAUCUGGUUUAAGACUCCUUCAGAGUUGGAUCAGCCUAAAAACAGGACAUGGUACAAGAUUUUAUUCAUUCCAAAGAUUGUAAAAAUUAAAUUCAUCCUGAGAAUUUAUCAGUCUAUGUGGGAGCUACAGACUUCUAUGAGCAAGCAGAGUACCUGGCAUUCCUGACCAUGCUAUUUCUACCAAUCAACAAAAACUACUAGAUACUCAGAGGGGAUUUAAUACAGAGAGUUGGCUACAACAUGACAAAACACCAG